ensembl:lncRNA
UUCCACCUCAGUCCCAAACUGUUUCACCGCCGGGUCUGGAGAUCUGGCCGGGGGCGUUGUCCUGGCCAGGGUUCCCUGGCCCCGAAGCCGGGACUUUUUUUUUUUUUUAAGUCCUUAAGUGGAACUGAGAAGGAGCUGCGCUUGUCUCAGGGCAGGCUUGGCGGUGGGGAUGGGGCAGGCUGACUAGGGCCGGUAGCGUUUCCGCGGAGCAGCUUCCGGGGGAAUUUUGUCUAAACGUUUGAGGUCAAUGGGCCCAGGCGGUGGCUGGACGUCAGGGCGCUGGAAUGUUGAGGAGCCUCGGAUGCAUCACAGUGCUUUGAAUAGGCUACCAGGGCACUGUUUCCUCCCACAGACUGUAUCUUGAUGAAUUUGCCAGAAAUUGGGCCAAGACUCACAGAGAAGACCGAGGUCCAAUUUGGCGAGUUGGCUGUUAGUGGCUCUGCUUGGUGGUUUGGUUAAGAAGAUGGAGCCAAAACCCAGAGUGAGAAUGAGGUUCCUUUAGAGCCGCCAAAGGCAGACGUAAGGUUCAAGCCAGCGAUGUAUGAAUGACCCAGUUUCUCCACAUCCUGGCCAACCGUUGAGUGUUCUCAGGAACUAAAAAGCCUCUUCAUGAAAGUGAAAGAGGAGAGUGAAAAAGUUGGCUUAAAGCUCAACAUUCAGAAAACUAAGAUCAUGGCAUCUGGUCCCAUCACUUCAUGAGAAAUAGAUGGGGAAACAGUGUCAGACUUUAUUUUUUUGGGCUCCAAAAUCACUGCAGAUGGUGAUUUCAGCCAUGAAAGUAAAAGACGCUUACUCCUUGGAAGGAAAGUUAUGACCAACCUAGACAGCAUGUUCAAAAGCAGAGACAUUGCUUUGCCAACAAAGGUCCAUCUAGUCAAGGCUAUGGUUUUUCCAGUGGUCAUGUAUGGAUGUGAGAGUUGGACUGUGAAGAAAGCUGAGUGCCGAAGAAUUGAUGCUUUUUAACUGUGGUGUUGGAGACACCUCUUUUGAGUCCCUUGGACUGCAAGGAGAUCCAACCAGUCCAUUCUGAAGGAGAUCAGCCCUGGGAUUUCUUUGGAAGGAAUGAUGCUAAAGCUGAAACUCCAGUCCUUUGGCCACCUGAUGCGAAGAGUUGACUCAUUGGAAAAGAGUCUGAUGCUGGGAGGGAUUGGGGGUGGUAGGAGAAGGGGACGACAGAGGAUGAGAUGGCUGGAUGGCAUCACCGACUCGAUGGACAUGAGUCUGGGUGAACUCCGGGAGUUGGUGAUGGACAGGGAGGCCUGGCGUGCUGCAAUUCAUGGGGUUGCAAAGAGUCGGACAUGACUGAGUGACUGAACUGAACUGAACUGAUGGUAGAAUAUAUUGAUUGAUUUUCAAAUACUGACUAGCCUUGCAUAUUUGGAAUAAUCCCAGUUGGUCACUUUGUAUUGUUCUUUCUAUACACUAUUGGAUUUAAUUUGCUGAUAUUUUCUGAGGAUUUUGUGUCUAGGUUCAUUAGUUAUAUUGAUUGAUAGACUUGUAUCACUGUCUUUGUCUAGUUUUGGUUUCAAGAUAGUACUGACAUCAGAAAAUGAGUUGGAAGUGUUUCUUCCUUUUUCAUUAUCUGGAAGAGAUUAUAUAAGAUUAGUUUUAAACUUUUCUCUUGUAAUUUUCUUUGAUCUGAA